UGUCACUGGCCAAGGUGAUAAAAAAGGAGAUAAAGGUGGCAGCGGGCUAGACCUAGGAAGUCUCGUUGGCGGUGGUCAAAAUAAAGGUGGCAGCGGGCUAGACCUAGGAAGUCUCGUUGGCGGUGGUCAAAAUAAAGG